rnacentral:misc_RNA from 1 species
CCCUUUCCCAUAUUACAUUAGAGUCAACAAAUGAGGAAGGGAAAGGGUUACGUGGGAGAGAAGAAGGGGGUUUUGAUGGGGUUCUGGAGAAGCAUCGGCGACGAGGGAGAGGGUGGCAGCCACGGAGGAUUAAAGACUCAGCAAGAUCAGAGUCAAGAGGGCAAAGAGAGUAAGGAGUGUAGCUCAUGUACUUGUGGAGAAGGUCAGGGUGGUUGUGACAGGAAGAGGCUAUGGGGGAUACGUGCGAAUAGAGGAGGAGAUCUGAAGGGAUGGUGGGUUUGGAUUGAGAGGUGGUGGGAGUGGUGGGGUUUGAUGGUUGGUGGCGCGUGAGGUGGUUAAUGGUGGCGCGUAUAGUUUGCAAUUGGUGGAGAAGAUGGUCUGGGACUUGCAAAGGAGCUGGGGGUUUGGGGGAUUGAAGAGUGGGAGCAGAGAGGUGGUAGAGGGACAGGAUGUUGGUAGCCACCAUGGCUAGGAGGAGCAGCAGGUUCAAGCCCAUGGUAAAACCCAUCUGCUGCUAAUUUCCUGGUUCUUGGGUAUUAGCUUUUAGGCACUUUGAAUUCUUGGCUCUUAGAAGCUUUGAUCUUUGUGCCUUUAAGCUCAG